rnacentral:rRNA from 1 species
GGACUACAAGGGUAUCUAAUCCUGUUUGCUCCCCACGCUUUCGCGCCUCAGCGUCAGUAUCGGACCAGGUCGCCGCCUUCGCCACCGGUGUUCUUCCCAAUAUCUACGAAUUUCACCUCUACACUGGGAAUUCCACGACCCUCUUCCGAACUCAAGCCCGCACGUAUCAAACGCAGCCCCCAGGUUGAGCCCAGGAAUUUCACGUCUGACUGUACAAGCCGCCUACGCGCCCUUUACGCCCAGUCAAUCCGAGUAACGCUAGCCCCCUUCGUAUUACCGCGGCUGCUGGCAC